AACAACCACGGCAUGGGAAUUGAAUAGUUUAUUGCAUAUGGACUUGACUUGAUCUAGCUAGACAGGCUCACAGACCUAACAAACCACCCAUCGUCGAAGGAGUGAAACGCUGCCCUUGGACCGCCAACAUGCUCAGCUUGGACCAGUGUGACAUCGGCCUCCCAUGAGCAUGACGUACGACCACCGUGUAGGCACUAGUUUAACUGUAAAUAGUCGUAGCACUAGUAAAUGAUCAUUCUGUUUUCAUGCCUAUCAGUUUGUUUUAACAAAAACAUCACUACACAUAAAUAACCACUCUGCUCCCUGAUAAAAAAAAUUAAAUACACCCCACAAAUAUAAUAAUUUUGAUAUUUUGGGGUCAUUUUGGACCUUG
rnacentral:lncRNA from 1 species